rnacentral:misc_RNA from 1 species
AAAAGGCCAAAACCAUGGCGGCCGGAAAAUAUCUCCUCUCCUCCUUCCUAUCUAUAACCACAGCCUUUGCUCUGUUUUUCACUUGGCUCCACCUCCCAUCUCCAUCGCCAAACGCCGCAGAGCUCCUCGACUGCGCAGCCUACUCCCCAUGGUGCUCCUCCAAAUCCCAAACCACCACUCUCGGCCGUCAGAAUCCCACGCGCCGCCGUGACCACUCCUCUGACACCCCGCACCACCCUCUCGACCCCCUCACCGUCAACGAAAUCAACAAAGUCCGUUCAAUCCUCUCCUCUCAUCCUCUCUUCACAUCCUCUCCGUUUUCCAUUCACUCCUUAGUCCUCGAAGAGCCCAAGAAAUCUGUGGUCCUAAAAUGGCGAAACGGCGAUCCUCUGCCUUCCAGAAAGGCCUCUGUUAUAGCACGUGUCAACGGAAACUCCCACGUGUUAACCGUUGACUUGACCACUGCGAAUGUCGUGAUCCGCGAAACUGGCCCACAUUCAGGUUAUCCGACGAUGACGGUGGAAGAGAUGAACAGUGCCACGUGGGUGCCGUUGAAGAGCGAGAGUUUCAAUCAAACGAUUCUCAACCGUGGGAUUGCGCUGUCCGACUUAGCCUGUCUGCCG